AACGAACGCUGGCGGCGUGCUUAACACAUGCAAGUCGAACGGUAAGGCCCUUCGGGGUACACGAGUGGCGAACGGGUGAGUAACACGUGGGUGAUCUGCCCUGCACUUCGGGAUAAGCCUGGGAAACUGGGUCUAAUACCGGAUAGGACUCCGGACUGCAUGGUCUGGGGUGGAAAGCUUUUGCGGUGUGGGAUGGGCCCGCGGCCUAUCAGCUUGUUGGUGGGGUGAUGGCCUACCAAGGCGACGACGGGUAGCCGGCCUGAGAGGGUGACCGGCCACACUGGGACUGAGACACGGCCCAGACUCCUACGGGAGGCAGCAGUGGGGAAGAUUGCGCAAUGGGCGAAAGCCUGACGCAGCAACGCCGCGUGCGGGAUGACGGCCUUCGGGUUGUAAACCGCUUUCAGCAGGGAAGAAGCCGCAAGGUGACGGUACCUGCAGAAGAAGCACCGGCUAACUACGUGCCAGCAGCCGCCGUAA
rnacentral:rRNA from 1 species